AAAUUGAAGAGUUUGAUCAUGGCUCAGAUUGAACGCUGGCGGCAGGCCUAACACAUGCAAGUCGAACGGUAACAGGAAGAAGCUUGCUUCUUUGCUGACGAGUGGCGGACGGGUGAGUAAUGUCUGGGAAACUGCCUGAUGGAGGGGGAUAACUACUGGAAACGGUAGCUAAUACCGCAUAACGUCGCAAGACCAAAGAGGGGGACCUUCGGGCCUCUUGCCAUCGGAUGUGCCCAGAUGGGAUUAGCUUGUUGGUGGGGUAACGGCUCACCAAGGCGACGAUCCCUAGCUGGUCUGAGAGGAUGACCAGCCACACUGGAA
rnacentral:rRNA from 1 species